UCCUGCUGAUGUUUCUCAGUGCUCUUGUUCCACCCUUCUACCUUCCCAGCACGAGAGAAAAUGCUUCUGCAAGAAGGAUUUAAUGAAGAGAACUGCAAAAGAAUGUGUGACGACCUCUCCUGACAUGGCAAAAACUUUCCACCCAUGUCAUGACAAAGGGGAGAAGUUUCUGUACAAAAGCCUAGCACUGGUGGUGAAACUAAGGCACACAUGCUGCAGCGAGCUAUAUCAUUAAAAACUGUAAAAGGUUCGUCAUCACUGGCCUAGAGCAUGUCUCCAGAAAUGUGCCCAUGCUUGUGACCUCUACCACUCCAUUUUCCAAUGAAUUCUGUUAUGCUAAGGAUUUGUAUACAGUG
rnacentral:lncRNA from 1 species